rnacentral:rRNA from 1 species
UACGGGGGGAGCAAGCGUUGUUCGGAUUUACUGGGCGUAAAGGGCGCGUAGGCGGUCAAUUAAGUCUGAUGUGAAAGCCCCCGGCUCAACCGGGGAGGGUCAUUGGAAACUGAUUGACUUGAGUACUGGAGAGAAGAGUGGAAUUCCACGUGUAGCGGUGAAAUGCGUAGAGAUGUGGAGGAACACCAGUGGCGAAGGCGACUCUUUGGCCAGAAACUGACGCUGAGGCGCGAAAGCGUGGGGAGCAAACAGG